GAGACACCCUUAUGGAGCAGGAUUUUCUUCAGUGGGGCUUUGGUGCUCACUGAAUCUGCCCCUUAAGUAUGUCAAU
rfam:Myotis lucifugus cont2.69914, whole genome shotgun sequence.